UUGUUAUUUUAGAUAGAUAAGAUUUGUUAUCGUGGUUGAUUCAAGUUCCAUCUCUGUAAAGCACUCAACACAACAAUGGCUUCUUCUCUCCACCAAAACCCCACUUUCCUUAAACCCCAACCCUCUCUAACACCAAAACCUGCCACCACGCGCCGUAACUAUAUUCCAGUACGAUGUGGAGGACCGCGUUCCCAACGUGGACCUCUAAUAAAAGGUCGAUUCCUAAGCAUCGAAGCAAUCCAAGCCAUCCAAACUCUAAAACGCAUCAACCGAAUCAAUCCACCGAACCAAAUCCAACUCCUUUCCAAUACUCUCACUCGUUUAAUCAAAUCUGACCUAGUCGCCACUCUAAAGGAGCUUCUACGCCAACAACACUGUACCCUCGCACUCCGUGUCUUCUCCGCCGUCAGAUCUGAAUACGGAGCAGAUCUAUCGCUUUAUGCGGAAAUGGUGCAGGCGCUUGGUAACUGUAAUAUGUCAGAAGAUGUGGACCGUUUGAUUGAAGAGAUUGAAACGGAGGGUGGGAUUCAGUGUGAUGAGGUUCAGAGGAAAGGGAUUUUGAAUUUGAUUAAGGCUGUUGUUUGUGCGCAGAGGAGAGAAUCGACUGUUAGGAUUUAUGAGAUGAUGAAGAGGAGUGGAUGGGGAUCGAGUGUUGAACCUGAUGAGUAUGUUGUUAGGGUUUUGAGUAAUGGGCUUAAGGGUUUCGGAGAAGAGGAACUUGCUUUACAUAUUCAAAAUGACACCACACGCAAUCAGGGGUUGGAUAAGUUGGAGAUUACUCUGCCAAAGGGAACAUGGUUGGGUUUUGAUUUUAAUGAUUCACAUCCGGAUUUACCAGCUUUAUAUUUGAAAGGUGGCUCAAUAAUUCCUGUGGGACUCCCUCUUCAGCAUGUUGGAGAAGCUAAUCCUUCGGACGAACUGACACUUCUCGUGGCUUUAGAUGAAUAUGGGAAAGCUGAAGGUUUUCUAUUCAAGGAUGAUGGCGAUGGAUAUGAAUUCACUAAAGGAAAUUAUUUAUUAACACAUUAUGUGGCUGAACUUCAAUCGUCGGUUGUUACUGUGAGUGUGCACAAAACUGAAGGAUCGUGGAAAAGACCGAAACGCCGCUUCCACAUUCAAUUAUUACUAGGUGGGGGUGCAAUGGUAUGCUAUUCAUGCUAACUUAUUCACCAAAUAAAAACUUGGGUCAUCGUUGGGCUUAUUAUGUGAAUGAAACCCCCAACCACAAAACUAAAACUUCCUCUUCUCCAUUAAACUAUAAAAUGUAAGAAGACUCUUCUCUCCUACUGUCUACUGCAACCUCCAGCCGCACUGCGUGUGAAGGUGCCGGCCAAAAAACAGCAGGUCAGAGCUGGAAAGUCAGUGAAGAGCAAUGGGCGGUAACAGCUAGGUUUUCAGAUGAUUUCAUCUUGGCGACCCAAUUGUAUGAAAAAACUCACAUAAUUGGACUCAAAGCCACUACUUGAAAACAAAAUGCAACCAAGACAAAAUAGUGGCAGAUUAGCCAGCCAUGCUGCUCUGCAACAGCACAAUAGCACAGCUAACCCACGCUUUUCAUAAAAUAUGUUUUGAAUAUUAUUAGAACUUAGAUUUUCUUUUUGUACAAGUUUAGCAAGUCCACAUAAUAUUAACUAGGCUCUGCAUAAAAAAUUAUUUAAACACGUUAUCCAACACUAAGUAUUCAUUACAGAAUUUGGAGGUCAUAUGUAGUAGCAGCUCCAACACAGUAUUUAUAUUCAUUAAAUCAGGAGAAAAGUUCAAGUCUUAAAUAUCA